UACGUAGGGGGCAAGCGUUGUCCGGAUUCAUUGGGCGUAAAGAGCUCGUAGGCGGUUCGGUAAGUCGGGUGUGAAAUCUCCGUGCUCAACACGGAGCGGCCACCUGAUACUGCCGUGACUCGAGUCCGGUAGGGGAGUGUGGAAUUCCCGGUGUAGCGGUGAAAUGCGUAGAGAUCGGGAAGAACAUCGGUGGCGAAAGCGCUCUACUGGACCGCAACUGACACUCAGGGACGAAAGCUAGGGGAGCGAAUGGG
rnacentral:rRNA from 1 species